rnacentral:rRNA from 1 species
GACGUAGGGCGCGAGCGUUGUCCGGAUUUAUUGGGCGUAAAGAGCUCGUAGGCGGCUCGUUGCGUCAACCGUGAAAACCCGGGGCUUAACUUCGGGCUUGCGGUUGAUACGGGCGGGCUGGAGUUCGGUAGGGGAGACUGGAAAUUCCUGGUGUAGCGGUGAAAUGCGGCAGAUAUCAGGAGGAACACCGGUGGCGAAGGCGGGGUCUCUGGGCCGAUAACUGACGC